rnacentral:tRNA from 1 species
GCCUUCAUGGUGUAACGGUAGCACACUCGGUGCGUAUUCGAAGGGUCCAGGUUCAAGUCCUGGCGAGGGCA